rnacentral:lncRNA from 1 species
GGUGUUUUGGCCUUUGCAGAGCUCUGCCCAUGCUGUAGUUCCGGUCAUUCUCCAGAAGCCACGCAACAGCACGGAGUUGUGAGAAAGUCCUUACGAGUUUCACCGAUAACCAGUCUGGAGUGAAUCAGAUGUGUCUGCUUCACGGCCAGGAUUUCAGUGAAUUAUGCCUUUUCGGUUUGGGACCCAGCCAAGGAGGUUUCCAGUGGAAGGAGGAGACUCUUCAAUUGAGCUAGAAUCAGGCCUGAGCUCCAGUGCUUCCUGUAAUGGGAAAGAGACGUCACCCAACAGGCAACUCCGAAGAUGCCCCGGAAGUCAUUGCCUGACAAUAACUGAUGUUCCCAUCACCGUCUAUGCAACAAUGAGAAAGCCACCUGCGCAAAGCAGCAAGGAAAUGCGUCCCAAAUAGCAUCAUUAAGUCUUCUGUCGAGGGUUGACUAGGUCAAGGGUAA